UUUAAAGCAUGAUGUCUGUGAAGAUGGUUGAGCUAUUCCAGUUUGUGAAAGCUCCUGUCUCAUAAUUACCAUAUAGCAUCUAUUGCCGUAGAAGGUGUAUUUUUGUUUAUUUUGUUAGAAGCUUGCAGCUUGAAAUGGAGAACAAAGGGAAUGUGUUGAUGCAAAAAUAUGAGAUAGGGAGAUUGUUGGGGCAAGGAACUUUUGCCAAGGUCCACCAUGCAAGGGAUCUCAAAACUGGCAUGAGUGUGGCAAUCAAGAUGAUCGACAAGGAGAAGGUAUUCAAGGUUGGAAUGAUGGACCAGAUUAAGCGAGAAAUUUCUGUCAUGAGACUGAUUAGGCAUCCCAAUGUGGUGGAACUUUAUGAGGUCAUGGCCACCAAAACUAAGAUUUACUUUGUUAUGGAAUACGUUAAAGGUGGUGAGUUGUUCAACAAGGUUGCCAAGGGAAAGCUCAAAGAGGAUGUUGCCAGGAAAUAUUUUCAACAGCUGAUCAGUGCAGUUGAUUACUGUCACAGUAGAGGAGUCUCUCAUCGUGAUCUGAAACCAGAAAACCUGCUGUUGGAUGAGAAUGAGAAUCUAAAGGUUUCUGAUUUUGGAUUAAGUGCACUUGCUGAAUCGAAGCGGCAAGAUGGUUUACUACAUACAACCUGUGGAACCCCUGCAUAUGUUGCUCCAGAAGUGAUUAACAGAAAAGGCUACGAUGGAGCUAAAGCUGAUAUUUGGUCAUGUGGAGUUAUCUUAUAUGUUCUACUGGCCGGCUAUCUCCCAUUCCGUGAUCCAAAUCUGAUGGAGAUGUAUAGGAAGAUUGCGAAGGGAGAAUUUAAAUGCCCCAAUUGGUUUGCACCCGAAGUUCGCAAGCUUCUGUCAAAGAUACUGGAUCCGAACCCAAACACAAGGAUAUCAAUGGCCAAAAUAAUGGAAAAUUCUUGGGUUCGGAAGGAUUUGCAAUCCAGACCCUGUGUUCUUGAAGCCGAAGUGAAAGAACCAGCUCCUUUGGACUCUGAGGCUGUUUUUGGCAUAAAUGAGAUUAGCUGCGCUGCUGUGGAACCAAAGCAAGAAGUGGCGAAGCCUUGCAACUUAAAUGCUUUCGAUAUUAUCUCCUUUUCUGCGGGCUUUGACCUGUCUGGCUUAUUUGAGGAGAAAGAGCAGAAGAAAGAAGUGAGGUUUACAUCAAACAAGCCUGCCUCCACCAUCAUCUCUAAGCUCGAAGACAUCGCCAAGCGUUUGAGGCUGAAAAUAAAGAAAAACGAUGGAGGUUUACUGAAAAUAGAAGGUUCAAAGGAAGGCCGGAAAGGAGUCAUGGGCAUCGAUGCAGAAAUUUUUGAGAUCACUCCUUUUUUCCAUUUGGUGGAGAUGAAAAAGUCCAGUGGAGAUACCGUGGAGUAUCAGAAGGUAGUGAAACAAGACAUUCGACCUGCACUCAAGGACAUUGUUUGGAGCUGGCAAGGAGAACAGCAAAGGGAACAACUACAACUACAAGAACAGCAGGAGCUACAGCCUUCUCAUGCAUCCACAACGCAGGUUGUCUCAACUCAGAAUUCAUCAUGACUAUAAUGAUCGUGCUGUUGAAUAUACUUUCUACCGGGUCUCUUUGCUGAGGAUGAUCAUCUUUGUGGGUUAGCACUAUGUUCUAAUUUUCUAUUUUUCAAUGUUUCGUGGAAUUG
rnacentral:lncRNA from 1 species